rnacentral:lncRNA from 1 species
AUGGCCACGAAUGAAGGUUUUCGCACAGAUUGGUGGAAACGCAGCGAUAAUCAACGCUCUUCAGAGCCGAAGCAUCUUCCGGCUCUUUCUUUUCCUGCCUUCUUUUGGGCACCGCGGUGGCCUUCAGAGUAUCAAAGAGGAGCAAAUCAUGCCCAGGUGGAAGGCUUUUCACAUGCAAAUUGUCAAUAUCAUUGUGAUGUGGCAUUUUUAUUAAUCCAAACCAGCUUAUCUGACCAAAAAGAAAGAAAGAUCAUUCUGUUUCAUAUCAAACAUUUUGUUCUGACAAUGCUUUUUUGUUGCUGCUACACCACUUUGGUAAUAAAGACUGUGACAGGCUUGGAUUCCUCCUUCUGAUGGCAAAAAUCCCUGAGAAGAGAAAAUCAAUGAGGGUUAUAGCUCCAUCCAAGGAAAAUAAGGGCUUUUCCUUUCAGCCUAUGAGAUGAGGAGCGGGGAUGCUUUUUGAGGCAAUUCAGCGGGGAGCAGACCACAAAGUCUUGGACCCUUCUGAUGUGGCUAAAUUCAGAUUCACCAACAUUAGGCCAUCUCCCAAGGCCUUGGCUAGGGCUGUGUCUCAGUGCUAUGCCUUAAAAGUGAGCCACAUUCACAUUCCCACGUCUAGGACACAUUAAUUUCUCCAGCAUUUGGGAGUCCUUUAAUAAGACUCCUCGUUCCUGCAGGAGGGAGGUGAAUGUACUUUAGUAUCAGACCUGGCUGCUUUGGGAUCUGGCUGGGAAAAGAUUUAUCCAAGGGCAAAUAAAGCCUGCAAGC